AGUGAACGCUGGCGGUAGGCCUAACACAUGCAAGUCGAACGGCAGCACAGUAAGAGCUUGCUCUUACGGGUGGCGAGUGGCGGACGGGUGAGGAAUACAUCGGAAUCUACUUUUUCGUGGGGGAUAACGUAGGGAAACUUACGCUAAUACCGCAUACGACCUACGGGUGAAAGCAUGGGAUCUUCGGACCUUGCGCGAUUGAAUGAGCCGAUGUCGGAUUAGCUAGUUUGCGGGGUAAAGGCCCACCAAGGCGACGAUCCGUAGCUGGUCUGAGAGGAUGAUCAGACAGACUGGAAGUGAGACACGGUCCAGACUCCUACGAGAGGGAGCAGUGGGGAAUAUUGGACAACGGGCGCAAGCAUGAUCCAGCCAUACCGCGUGGGUGAAGAAGGCCGCCGGGUUGUAAAGCCCUUUUGUUGGGCAAGAAAAGCAGCAGGUUAAUACCGCGCUGUUCUGACGGUACCCAAAGAAUAAGCAAAGGCUAACUUCGUG
rnacentral:rRNA from 1 species